GUUAGGGUAUAAAAGUGGGCUAGUUUGAGGGUCUGGUGUGGGAUUUGGUUUUGCCACUGAACAAGCUUCAGAUAUUUCCAACUCUUCCUACCAUCGAAACUCAACAACAAUCAUGCCUGCAUACAUGGACAUCACUCCUCAAGACAACAUUCAAUAUGCCAGAUGUAAACUGCACAGCCUGGAGCGGAAAUGCUUCAGCAAAGUGGAGAAGCUGAAAUCGUCAUUUGAAGACCACCUUCUUCAUCAGGGCGUUCCUGCGUCCGACAUUCUGGACAAAACCGUGUCUUUCUUCAGCUCCAAAAAGGCCUUGAUUUUCCCCAGCGGAUACUCCAGGUGCUCCCGCGAAAUCCUGCGACUUUCUCCCAGCGCGGAUCAGGACGUGACGCCGCUGUUCUGAAUCAACAUCAUCCAGCACAGACUGAAAUUAAACAAAACAGUCAAGCACUUGAUCUGACCAUGUGUGUGUGUCAGUACAGCUACCUCAGAGCAAAACAGCACUACACUUGAUCUCUUUAGACUUUUUUAUUCAUUCUUUGAUUUUCCGUCGGCUUAGUCUCUUUAUUUAUCAGUGGUCGCCACAGCGGAAUGAACCACCAGCUGUUUCAGCAUAUGUUUUACACAGCGGAUGUCCUUCAAGCCGGAACCCAGUACUGGGAAACAUCCAUACACACAUACACUACGGCCAAUUUAGUUUAUCCAAUUCACAUAAAGUUGAAGUCAGAAUUAUUCGCCCCCUUUGAAUUUUUUUCUUAUUUAAAUAUUUCCCAAAUG